rnacentral:rRNA from 1 species
UCCGUAGGCGGGCGUCUAAGUCAGUGGUGAAAUCUUACAGCUCAACUGUAAAAUUGCCAUUGAUACUGGAUGUCUUGAAUUAGUGUGAAGUGGUUAGAAUGUGUAGUGUAGCGGUGAAAUGCAUAGAUAUUACACAGAAUACCGAUUGCGAAGGCAGAUCACUAACACUAUAUUGACGCUGAGGGACGAAAGCGUGGGGAGCGAACAGGAUUAGAUACCCUGGUAGUCC